CCUACGGGUGGCAGCAGUGGGGGAUAUUGCACAAUGGGGGAAACCCUGAUGCAGCAACGCCGCGUGUGGGAAGAAGGUUUUCGGAUUGUAAACCACUGUUCUUGGUGAAGAUAAUGACGGUAACCAAGGAGGAAGCUCCGGCUAACUACGUGCCAGCAGCCGCGGGCAUACGUAGGGAGCAAGCGGUGUCCGGAUUUACUGGGUGGAAAGGGUGCGUAGGCGGUCUUGCAAGUCAGACGUGAAAACGACAGGGUCAACCUGUGGACUGCGUUUGAAACUGUGGGGCUUGAGUGAAGUAGAGGUAGGCGGAAUGCGCGGUGUAGCGGUGAAAUGCGUAGAUAUCGGGAGGAACACCAGUUGCGAAGGCAGCCUACUGGGCUUUAACUGACGCUGAGGCACGAAAGCAUGGGGAGCAAACAGGAUUAGAUACCCCUGUAGUC
rnacentral:rRNA from 1 species